UACGUAGGGGGCGAGCGUUGUCCGGAUUUAUUGGGCGUAAAGAGCUCGUAGGCGGUUUGGUAAGUCGGGUGUGAAAUCUCCACGCUCAACGUGGAGGGGCCACUCGAUACUGCCAUGACUCGAGUCCGGUAGAGGAGUGUGGAAUUCCCGGUGUAGCGGUGAAAUGCGCAGAUAUCGGGAGGAACACCCGUAGCGAAGGCGGCACUCUGGGCCGGAACUGACGCUGAUGCGCGAAAGCCAGGGGAGCGAACGGG
rnacentral:rRNA from 1 species